GCUCUGUGUAUUUUUUUUCUAAACAUGUCCCGAAAUACAGAUCAAACUAGAGAAAUGUACGUAGGAGCAUCUCAAAAUUCACUCUAAGCAAAACGAACCAAACAAGACAAACAGAGCAGGCUACUUCUUUUAGCUUUCCGUAAAUGUUUUUGUUUGCUUAUUUUAAUGGUCACUGUGCCUAGUCAUAGGAUAGCCUGUGGUAAUUCAACAUACAUUCACAAUGGGCAACUAUUAAUUCAGAGUAAUUAGUAACUCCAGGUCCUCAGAAUUUUAUCAUUUCUAUAUGUUGGAAAACCUGCACAGUCUUCUUUGCCAGUAACCUUGAAAAAUAGCAUACAUUGCUUUAGACUAAUGUUACCCUAAGCUACUUACUUCCUUUAUUUGGCAAAAAAAAAUCAUAAGAAAAAUAUGAAAGUACAAAUAUGAUAUAGAAGAAAAUAUGCGACAACAAUAACAACAAAAAUGACCCAGGUUUUGUCCUUUACUAGGAAUCAGCCUCGCGGUUCUAGAAGGGAUUUUUUCCAUCUCUCUGGGCCUUGAUUUUUUUCUUUCAUGUGCAUCAGGAAGAGUCAGGCAGCUCCCAGGUUCUAUCAUUAGCAGUCCAAAUGCCACCUCCAAAUCUGUUUUCUGCUGUGUUUUGUUUUUGGAAAGACAAGGUAACUGCAGAAGUAUCUGCAGUUAUUUCCAAAGAUGUGAACUGACGUUCACAGAAAGCACACACUUCUGAAUCUGCUGAAAUUGAUAUAAACCUUGCAAACGAGGGAGGCUCACUGUAGAAACGAUCUUCCAAAAUAGAGUUGGAUGACUUUGAAUGAUGAUUUUAUAAACCUUGAUUCUCUCUCUCUCUCUCUCUCUCUCUCUCUCUCUCUCUCUCUCUCUCUCUCUCUCUCUCUCUCUCUUCCUCUCCUCCCUCCCUCCUUCAACAUUACUGGAAAGGCCUGAAGAAAACUGGUAUCAGAAAUACAGGUAGAUAAGUAAGAACAAACUUAGCUUAUUUGUCUGAAUAUUUCACUAAGGAUAGAGUUUUGUAUUCCAAAACUAGAAGGUGACGAUAGAAUAUUCUAUUUCAGGACAUUUUUUUAAAGCCAUUUAAAAAUUUUCUGCCACAGGAUAAAUGACUCCUCCUGAAUGCUAACAACAAGGGAAGAAUGUGCUAGAGGCUCCGCCAUCAUAUUAAAAAUUAAACCGGCUGCAUUUC
rnacentral:lncRNA from 1 species